rnacentral:rRNA from 1 species
GAGUUUGAUCGUGGCUCAGGACGAACGCUGGCGGCGUGCUUAACACAUGCAAGUCGAGCGGUAAGGCCUUUCGGGGUACACGAGCGGCGAACGGGUGAGUAACACGUGGGUGAUCUGCCCUGCACUUCGGGAUAAGCCUGGGAAACUGGUCUAAUACCGGAUAUGACCUCCUAUCGCAUGGUGGGUGGUGGAAAGAUUUAUCGGUGCAGGAUGGGCCCGCGGCCUAUCAGCUUGUUGGUGGGGUAAUGGCCUACCAAGGCGACGACGGGUAGCCGACCUGAGAGGGUGACCGGCCACACUGGGACUGAGACACGGCCCAGACUCCUACGGGAGGCAGCAGUGGGGAAUAUUGCACAAUGGGCGAAAGCCUGAUGCAGCGACGCCGCGUGAGGGAUGACGGCCUUCGGUUG